rnacentral:rRNA from 1 species
UACGUAGGGGGCAAGCGUUGUCCGGAAUUAUUGGGCGUAAAGCGCGCGCAGGCGGUUCUUUAAGUCUGGUGUCUAAGUGCGGGGCUCAACCCCGUGAUGCACUGGAAACUGGGGAACUUGAGUGCAGAAGAGGAGAGCGGAAUUCCACGUGUAGCGGUGAAAUGCGUAGAGAUGUGGAGGAACACCAGUGGCGAAGGCGGCAUCCUGGACCGGCAUUGACGCUGAGGCGCGAAAGCCAGGGGAGCAAACGGG